UUUUUCCUUCGCUACUACCCGAAUGGAAUUGGCCUCAGGGGGAAGNCUUCCGCGAAAUGUGGGUUUAAGGAAAGAGGGGGGCCAAACCUUACAUUUCCUGGGAACCGGAAGAAGGCGUGGUUCCAAACCUGGUUCCAAUUUAAGGGGGAAGUAAAAGUUGGUAACCAAGGUUUCCGGUAGGGGAACCUGGGGGAAGAAUCAUUACUUAAUUGGCUUUAAUGGCCCAACAAGGGGUUUUUCUUUGUGAAACCAAACUGGUUUGGGCGGGGGGGCCCCGGCCCGGCCGGCCCAGGGUUUUAAACCUAACAACCCAAUUUUUAAUCAACUGGUUAAAACCAGAAUAAUAAUUAAUAGUCAAAACUUUCAACAACGGAUCUCUUGGUUCUCGCAUCGAUGAAGAACGCAGCGAAAUGCGAUACGUAAUAUGAAUUGCAGAUAUUCGUGAAUCAUCGAAUCUUUGAACGCACAUUGCGCCCUCUGGUAUUCCGGAGGGCAUGCCUGUUUGAGCGUCGUUUCUCCCUCAAACCGCUGGGUUUGGUGUUGAGCAAUACGACUUGGGUUUGCUUGAAAGACGGUAGUGGUAAGGCGGGAUCGCUUUGACAAUGGCUUAGGUCUAACCAAAAACAUUGCUUGCGGCGGUAACGUCCUACCACGUAUAUCUUCAAACUUGACCUCUUAUCAGGUACUCUC
rnacentral:misc_RNA from 1 species